AGAACGAACGCUGGCGGCAUGCCUAAUACAUGCAAGUCGAACGAACUCUUCGGAGUUAGUGGCGCACGGGUGCGUAACGCGUGGGAAUCUGCCCCUUGGUUCGGAAUAACAGUUGGAAACGACUGCUAAUACCGGAUGAUGACGAAAGUCCAAAGAUUUAUCGCCAAGGGAUGAGCCCGCGUAGGAUUAGCUAGUUGGUGAGGUAAAGGCUCAACCAAGGCAACGAUCCUUAGCUGGUCUGAGUAGGAUGAUCAGCCACAACUGGGACUGAGACACGGCCCAGACUCCGUACGGAGGCAGCAGGUAGGGAAUACUUAGGACAAGUGGACGAAAGCCUAGAUCCAGCAAUGCGCGUGAGUGAUGAAGGCUUAGGGUUGUAAAGCUUAC
rnacentral:rRNA from 1 species